rfam:Caenorhabditis japonica strain DF5081 Contig17146.9, whole genome shotgun sequence.
CACUCGGUCCGACGCCGGUGGGUUAUCAAAACCGUUCCCCUUCCCAUCGGCACAAACUUGACCGUAUAGU